rnacentral:rRNA from 1 species
AUUGAACGCUGGCGGAAUGCUUUACACAUGCAAGUCGAACGGCAGCACGGACUUCGGUCUGGUGGCGAGUGGCGAACGGGUGAGUAAUAUAUCGGAACGUGCCCAGUCGUGGGGGAUAACGUAGUGAAAAUUACGCUAAUACCGCAUACGAUCUAUGGAUGAAAGCGGGGGAUCGCAAGACCUCGCGCGAUUGGAGCGGCCGAUAUCAGAUUAGGUAGUUGGUGAGGUAAAGGCUCACCAAGCCGACGAUCUGUAGCUGGUCUGAGAGGACGACCAGCCACACUGGAACUGGGACACGGUCCAGACUCCUACGGGAGGCAGCAGUGGGGAAUUUUGGACAAUGGACGCAAGUCUGAUUCAGCCAUUCCGCGUGCAGGACGAAGGCCUUCGGGUUGUAAACUGCUUUUGUACAGAACGAAAAGGUCUCUAUUAAUACUAGGGGCUCAUGACGGUACUGUAAGAAUAAGCACCGGCUAACUACGUGCCAGCCGCCGCCGUAA